AAAAAAAAAUGGUGAUUGUUUCACAAUAAUGUCUCAGCUAGAAAACAAAGGAACGACACCCAUGGUCAUUUCAGAAAACAUUGCAUCAAUAAUUGAAAAUUUGUUCAAAUGAUGUCAUGGCAAAGCACAAAAAGGAUAACUCUCCUCUGCAAAAGGAACCACCUCAGUUUACAAUUAGACAAACUGUGAAUAUAUAAUGAUCUCAAGUAAUAAGCCAAAAGGUGAAGAGACGAGAAAAUCUACAAAUAUCCUUCAGCAAUCACUGUUACACGAAUUUCUGACAUAGACAGAAUGCAUCCUCUGUUGCCAUCAUCAUAUAAUGCUCAGCUGUUUGGCAGU
rnacentral:misc_RNA from 1 species